AGUGCGACGGGAUCGACGCCCCGCGUCACGACGAGGUAGUCGCGCAUCACCACGGAGUGCUUGUUCUC
rnacentral:sRNA from 1 species